rnacentral:rRNA from 1 species
CCUACGGGAGGCUGCAGUGAGGAAUAUUGGUCAAUGGGCGAGAGCCUGAACCAGCCAAGUCGCGUGAAGGAUGAAGGAUCUAUGGUUUGUAAACUUCUUUUAUAUGGGAAUAAAUUGAGGAACGUGUUCCUGUUUGUAUGUACAAUAUGAAUAAGCAUCGGCUAACUCCGUGCCAUCAGCCGCGGUAAUACGGAGGAUGCGAGCGUUAUCCGGAUUUAUUGGGUUUAAAGGGUGCGUAGGUGGUUAAUUAAGUCAGAGGUGAAAGUUUGUGGCUCAACCAUAAAAUUGCCGUUGAAACUGGUCGACGUGAGUAUAUGUGAGGUAGGCGGAAUGCGUGGUGUAGCGGUGAAAUGCAUAGAUAUCACGAAGAACCCCGAUUGCGAAGGCAGCUUACUAAACUAUAACUGACACUGAAGCACGAAAGCGUGGGGAUCAAACAGGAUUAGAUACCCGAGUAGUC